AUUUACUAUAAGUCUAUUGAGCUUCGUAACAGUAAAAUGUAUUGGUCCCAAAUAGCUCGUUUUUCAGUGUCAAGAAGCUUAUUUGAAAAUUGGAAUAAUAUUGCCUGGAUAAACAAGGAAAAAGAAGAAAAGAAUGAAAUAUUAAACCGAGAAUUUUGGACAAGAUUAAAGAGUUUUCAUCGUUUUGAACCCUUAAGAACAAAAGUAACAGUUUCUGAAAAUCUUUUAAAAAUUUGUUUAUAUUCUGAAAAAUCGAAAAGCAAAGACAGGGAUGAAGAGCAUGACGAUGUGUUAUUUUUCUAUUUAUUGAGCUUCUGGAAGGUCUGAGACUACUUCUUGGCUUUUGCUUGUUUUUUUUUUUUUUUAAUUCUUAAUUUAAAAUAUAAAUAUAUUACAUAAUUGUUAGU